UACGUAGGGUGCGAGCGUUAAUCGGAAUUACUGGGCGUAAAGCGUGCGCAGGCGGUUCGUUAAGUCAGAUGUGAAAGCCCCGGGCUCAACCUGGGAACUGCAUUUGAAACUGGCGGGCUUGAGUGCGGCAGAGGGGGGUGGAAUUCCGCGUGUAGCAGUGAAAUGCGUAGAGAUGCGGAGGAACACCGAUGGCGAAGGCAGCCCCCUGGGCCGACACUGACGCUCAGGCACGAAAGCGUGGGGAGCAAAAGGG
rnacentral:rRNA from 1 species